UACGUAGGGGGCAAGCGUUGUCCGGAAUCAUUGGGCGUAAAGAGCGUGUAGGCGGCCCGAUUAGUCCGCUGUGAAAGUCCAGGGCUCAACCCUGGAAUGCCGGUGGAAACUGUCGGGCUAGAGUCCGGAAGGGGCGAGUGGAAUUCCUGGUGUAGCGGUGAAAUGCGCAGAUAUCAGGAGGAACACCAAUGGCGAAGGCAGCUCGCUGGGACGUGACUGACGCUGAGACGCGAAAGCGUGGGGAGCAAACAGG
rnacentral:rRNA from 1 species